CCUGCAGAAGGAAAUGCCAGUUUGCAUGUCCUUCCCGCUUGAAGGUCACGGAGAUCAUUACGGAAAACGUGUCAUGCAGUCGUGUAGAGGAUGGGUGUUAAAGGAACAUGUUUCAUCACUAUCAAGUAGGUACAAUAGCCGCAAGGCUGAAGAGGUUAGGAUGAGAAAAAAAUCGUAUAAAAGGAUAGAGAAAAGGUUAUAUAAAACAGUCGAGCGAGCAUCUCCCACACGGCAACAACAGCAGCGCCCAUUUGUCACCAACUGCAUUCCUCAUCGUGGAACCAAUACGCAAUCAUCGUUAUAAUUGAAAAAUACACCAAUGUCAAGUGUUGCAUCAUUUCCAAGCAGGUACAAUUGCCCCAAGGCUCGAGUUGAAUCGUGAAUAUGGAGAAGGAAAAAUCGCAUUAAACGAGGGAGAAAGGGCAAUAGGAAUCAGUCGAAUCUCGAAUGAGCAUCUCCGACACGGCAACAACUGCAGCGGACUAUUUGUCACCAACUGGAUUGUUCAUCGUAUAACCAGUUCGCAAUCAUGGUUAACUAUAGCGGUGUGCUGCUGUCGGGUGUUGUAUCGUUGAUGGCUGGGUCAACCAUUGGUGUCCCGAUGUAUCCGAGAAUACCAAACCACAACGCCGCUGCCUUUCUACACAACAUCAACUUACGUAACGACCAGUUACUACAAGCAAUGGAGUAUUACCACAAUUUACGCUGCCCCGAGCUACACCACCAAGGCACCGGAGUACUACACGACUACUUAUGCUGCCCCAUCCUACUACACCGAGGCUCCCAAGUAAUACUCUGUCCUCAGGUACUUACUACACCGAUGCUCCUAAAUACUACUCUGUUCCCAGCUACUACAGCGAUGCUUUAGCUCAUUACUCCACCAAAACGGUUGAAUACUACACCGAAGCGCCCAAGAACUACUCUGCCCCGAUCUACACAACCACAACUGAGGCGGCCAAGUAUUACGCAGCUCCGACUUACCACACAGAAGCUCCUCCUUCGUACUACGCUGAACAGAAAUACUUCACGGAUGCUCCAGUUUACUACACCACAACCUAAACUACACCUAGCUACAACACCGAAGCGCUCCAAGCUACUACCAAACUAAGGCUCAUAAGUACUACACCAGCAGCGCUCCCGAUUAUUACACCACUGCUUACGCUGCUCCGACCUAUACACCGAAGUUCCAAAGUAUUCCUCUGCCCCGAGUUACUACAUUACUUAGUCACCAUAGCACCAGUUUAUGUUUCCAUAGUUCCAGUCCAAUGUGGUUUGUUAUUGCAGUCUAUGCUGGUGAAAGACUUUUGUGCAUCAAGUUAAACUCUGGGGAUGUUCCUUGGAGCUGGUGUCGUGUUACAGAAGUUACAUCCUGUAUUUUGUUUAAUUGAAAUUUUGUCUAUAUCGUUUGUAUGAUGAGAA